rnacentral:rRNA from 1 species
GUUGAACGCUGGCGGCGUGCUUAAUACAUGCAAGUCGAGCGACCAGACGAGGACCUUGCUCCUCUCACGUUGCCGACGGAUGGGUGAUUCAUCCGUACAUACCCUAUCUUUAAGACUGACAUAACUUCGGUAACCCUAAUCCCAUACCGGAUCUUAUGUUGAACGCCAUGGUCCAUCGGUCCUCGCGGGUUUUGCUCUCCCUUUUUGAUGUUUCCGCGUCGCAUUAGUUAGUUGGUACGGUAACGGCUUACCAAGGCGACGAUGCGUAGCCGACCUGCGAGGAUGAUCGGACACACUGGAACUGAGACACGGUCCAGACUCCUACGGGAGGCAGCAGUAGGGAAUCUUCCGCAAUGGGCGAAAGCCUGACGGAGCAACGCCGCGUGAGGGAUGAAGGUCUUCGGAUCGUAAAACGCUGUUAUUAGGGAAGAACAAAUGUGGAAGUAACUAUGCACGUCUUGACGGUACCUAAUCAGAAAGCAACGGCUAACUACGUG